rnacentral:rRNA from 1 species
UACGAAGGGUGCUAGCGUUGUUCGGAAUCACUGGGCGUAAAGCGCGCGUAGGCGGCUUUUCAAGUCAGGGGUGAAAUCCUGGAGCUCAACUCCAGAAUUGCCUUUGAAACUGUAAAGCUAGAGUGUCGGAGGGGAUAGCGGAAUUCCUAAUGUAGAGGUGAAAUUCGUAGAUAUUAGGAGGAACACCGGUGGCGAAGGCGGCUAUCUGGACGACAACUGACGCUUAGGCGCGAAAGCGCGGGGAUCAAAC